rnacentral:tRNA from 1 species
GCCGUGGUGGCAGAAUGGCUAAUGCGCUCGAUUCGAGAUCGGGUGUCCUUACGGACGUGCAGGUUCGAGUCCUGCCCACGGCG